rnacentral:rRNA from 1 species
AUGGUGACCAAGCUCGCAGCGAUCAUCGUCUUGGCCGCUUUCCUGGCCGGGCCGGCGGCGUGCGAGGGCGCAAGCAUUUGCUUCAACGGUUGGAUGAGGUUACCCACCUUCAACCCGCGGCUCUGUCCUCGCGGCCCCAGGGUGAACCGCCGGCAGCGGGGGGCUUCUCCCACGGGGUCAGGACUCAGCUACGGCUACUACGACAACAGGAGGUCGACGUCUUACUGCCCCAGGGCGGAAGGGAUCGUGAGGGGUGCCGUGAGGGACGCCGUGGCCGCCAACCCUGGCAUUGGUGCGGGCCUCAUCCGUCUCUUUUUCCACGACUGCUUCGUUCGGGGGUGCGAUGCUUCCGUCCUCCUCACCACGACCAACUCCAAGAACAGCGACACGGAGCGGGAAGGCCCUCCCAACAAGAACAGCCUACGAGGGUUCGAGGUGAUCGACGCGGCCAAGGCGGCGAUCGAGGCCGCCUGCCCCAGCAGAGUCUCAUGCGCCGACAUCGUCGCCUUCGCCGCCCGCGACGCGUCCUACUUCCUCAGCAACCACAGGAUCAACGUCCCGAUGCCGGGCGGCCGCUACGACGGGCGCGAGUCCUUCGCCAACGAGACCGACCAGCUGCCCGGGCCCUUCUCCAACGUCACGGAGCUCCAGGCGAGUUUCGCGGCCAAGGGGCUCACCUCUGACGAGAUGGUCACACUCUCAGGCGCGCACACCAUCGGCCGCGCCCGCUGCUUGUUUUUCUCCAGCCGCUUCUCUGAGAUGGACCCGGCAUUUGCCGCCAAGCUCAGGGCCCAGUGCAACGGCAACGACAACACCAACGUGAACCAAGACCAAGUGACCCCCGAUGUCCUGGACAAGCAGUACUACCGGAACGUGAUCGACAGGAAAGUGCUCUUCACCUCGGACGCCGUGCUCAACUCGACGGAAACGAUGACGCAGGUGACUGAAAACGCGAACAGGGCAGGGGCGUGGGAGAGGAAGUUCGAGAGAGCCAUGGAGAAUAUGGGAAAAAUCGGGAUCAAGACCAGAGGCGACCAAGGCGCAGAGAUCAGGAAGGUAUGCUCGAGAGUUAACAACUAG